GGGCGCGGAGUCAUGGAUUCGGUUUCGUGCGGAUUGCUGGCUUCACCCGGCGUGUGACGAGCCGUGGGAUCCAGCUCUGUGGAAAACACAAAGCAAGCCUGGGAGAGUGGUGAACAGAUGGAUGAGGGACAAAAUCAGGUCCAUUUCUCAGUCUUGAGAACUGCCAAAGGUGACUCUACUUCUCGCUCUCCUUCAGUAACCUCAAAUCUGGAGGAAGUAAAUGAUAUGUACUGAAAGCCCCAUGGUGGCUUUUGGAAUGGUCUACUAGAUUUGACCAGUGCUGGAGAGUAUGCAGUGGAUGAUUUGCAGUUACAUCUGCUAAGAUAGACUGAAAAGUCCUUGCAAGAAAGGUGGUGUGGGGAGACCUUCAAGAUGGUGGAGGAGUAAGAUGUGGAGAUCACCUUCCUCCCCACAAAUACAUCAGAAAUACAUCUACAUGUGGAACAGCUCCUACAGAACACCUACUGAAUGCUGGCAGAAGACCUCAGACUCCCCAAAAGGCAAGGAACUCCCCAAGUACCUGGGCAGGACAAAAGAAAAAAGAAAAAACAGAGAUAAAAGAAUAGGGAUGGGGGUUUCCCUGGUGGCGCAGUGGUUGAGAGUCCGCCUGCUGAUGCAGGGGACACGGGUUCGUGCCCCGGUCCGGGAAGAUCCUACAUGCUGUGGAGCGGCUGGGCCCGUGAGCCAUGGCCGCUGAGCCUGCACAUCCGGAGCCUGUGCUCCGCGACGGGAGAGGCCACAGCAGUGAGAGGCCCACGUACCGUAAAAAAAAAAAAAAGAAAAGAAUAGGGAUGGGACCUGCACCUCUGGGAGGGAGCUGUGAAGGAGGGAAAGUUUCCACACACUAGGAAGCCCCUUUGCGGGCAGACACGGGGAUGGCGGAGGUGGGGAGCUUCAGAGCCACGGAGGAGAGAGCAGCCACAGGGGUGCAGAGGGCAAAGCGGAGAGAUUCCCGCACAGAGGAUCUUUGCCGACCAGCACUCACCAGCCUGAGAGGCUUGUCUGCUCACCCGCCGGGGUGGGCGGGGGCUGAGAGCUGAGGCUCGGGGCUUCAGAGGUCAGAUCCCAGGGAGAGGACUGGGGUUGGCUGUGGGAACACAGCCUCAAGGGGCUAGUGUGCCACGGCUAGCUGGGAGGUAGUCUGGGAAAAGGUCUGGGCCUGCCUAAGAGGCAAGAGACCAUUGUUUCGGGGUGCAUGAGGAGAAGGGAUUCAGAGCACUGCCUAAAUGAGCUCCAGAGACGGGCGCGAGCUGCGGCUAUCAGCGCGGACCCCAGAGAUGGGCAUGAAAUGCUAAGGCUGCUGCUGCAGCCACCAAGAAGCCUGUGUGCAAGCACAGGUCACUAUCCACACCUCCCCUCCCGGGAGCCUGUGCAGCCCACCACUGCCAGGGUCCCGUGAUCCAGGGACAACUUCCCCGAGAGAACACACGGUGCGCCUCAGGCUAUUGCAAUGUCACACGGGCCUCUGCCGCUGCUGGCUCACCCGGCAUCCGUACCCCUUCCUCCCCCUGGCCUGAGUGAGCCAGAGCCCGCAAAUCAGCUGCUCCUUUAACCCUGUCCGGUCUGAGCAAAGAACAGACACCCUCAGGCCACCUGCACGCAGAGGCAGGGCCAAAUCCAAACCUAAAACCCAGAGCUGUGCGAACAAAGAAGAGAAAGGAAAUUUUUCCCAGCAGCCUCAGGAGCAGCGGAUUAAAUCUCCACAAUCAACAUGAUGUGCCCAGCAGCUGUGGAAUACCUGAAUAGACAAUGAGUCAUCCCAAAACUGGGGCGGUGGACUUGGGAGAAACUGUAGACUUGGGGUUUGCUUGCUGCAUCUAACAUUUGUUUC